rnacentral:rRNA from 1 species
GGUUAAGCGACUAAGCGUACACGGUGGAUGCCCUGGCAGUCAGAGGCGAUGAAGGACGUGCUAAUCUGCGAUAAGCGACGGCGAGGUGAUAUGAACCUUUGACCCGUCGAUGUCCGAAUGGGGAAACCCAGUGCAAUUCGUUGCACUAUCGUUAACUGAAUACAUAGGUUAACGAGGCGAACCGGGGGAACUGAAACAUCUAAGUACCCCGAGGAAAAGAAAUCAACCGAGAUUCCCCCAGUAGCGGCGAGCGAACGGGGAGCAGCCCGGAGUCUGAAUCAGCUUGUGUGUUAGUGGAACGGUCUGGAAAGUCCGACGGUACAGGGUGAUAGUCCCGUACACGAAAAUGCACAGGUUGUGAACUCGAAGAGUAGGGCGGGACACGUGGUAUCCUGUCUGAAUAUGGGGGGACCAUCCUCCAAGGCUAAAUACUCCUGACUGACCGAUAGUGAACCAGUACCGUGAGGGAAAGGCGAAAAGAACCCCGGCGAGGGGAGUGAAAAAGAACCUGAAACCGUGUACGUACAAGCAGUGGGAGC